CAGAUUGCAGGCUGCAACNCGCCUGCAUGAAGUCGGAAUUGCUAGUAAUCGCAGAUCAGCAUGCUGCGGUGAAUACGUUCCCGGGCCUUGUACACACCGCCCGUCACACCAUGGGAGUCGGUAACACCCGAAGUCGGUAGCCUAACCGUAAGGAGGGCGCCGCCGAAGGUGGGAUUGGUGACUGGGGUGAAGUCGUAACAAGGUAGC
rnacentral:rRNA from 1 species